AUGAAUGGCUGUGUCCUACACAACCCUAGUAGAUGGUGCCAUUCACAUAGACUAUAAUUGAAUGGCGCCACUAGGGUUGUGCAGUGCACAGCCUAUAC
rnacentral:pre_miRNA from 10 species